AGCAGCCGCGGUAAUUCCAGCUCCAAUAGCGUAUAUUAAAGUUGCUGCAGUUAAAAAGCUCGUAGUUGAAUUUCGGGACCAUCGUAUCGGUCGUGCCUCGGUACGUACUGGCAUUGUUGGUUUCUACCUUCUGACGAACCAUGAUGUCAUUUAUUUGGUGUCGUGGGGAAUCAGGACUGUUACUUUGAAAAAAUUAGAGUGUUUAAAGCAGGCAUUAGCUUGAAUACAUUAGCAUGGAAUAAUGAAAUAGGACGUUCGAACCUAUUUUGUUGGUUUUUAGGAUCAACGUAAUGAUUAAUAGGGAUAGUUGGGGGCAUUAGUAUUCAAUUGUCAGAGGCGAAAUUCUUGGAUUUAUUGAAGACUAACUACUGCGAAAGCAUUUGCCAAGGAUGUUUUCAUUAAUCAAGAACGAAAGUUAGGGGAUCGAAGACGAUCAGAUACCGUCGUAGUCUUAACCAUAAACUAUGCCGACUAGGGAUCGGAUGAUGUUAAUUUUUAAUGACUCAUUCGCGCCUUACGG
rnacentral:rRNA from 1 species